rnacentral:tRNA from 1 species
GGGCUGGUAGCUGAGACGGUCUAGCGGCGGUUUGAAGAACCGCAGACGAGGAUUCGAGCGCCUCCCGGCCCAC